rnacentral:rRNA from 1 species
GACGAACGCUGGCGGCGUGCCUAAUACAUGCAAGUCGAGCGAGUCUGCCUUGAAGAUCGGAGUGCUUGCACUCUGUGAAACAAGAUACAGGCUAGCGGCGGACGGGUGAGUAACACCUGGGUAACCUGCCCAAGAGAUCGGGAUAACACCUGGAAACAGAUGCUAAUACCGGAUAACAACAGAUGAUGCCUAUCAACUGUUUAAAAGAUGGUUCUGCUAUCACUCUUGGAUGGACCUGCGGUGCAUUAGCUAGUUGGUAGGGUAACGGCCUACCAAGGCGAUGAUGCAUAGCCGAGUUGAGAGACUGAUCGGCCACAUUGGGACUGAGACACGGCCCAAACUCCUACGGGAGGCAGCAGUAGGGAAUCUUCCACAAUGGACGCAAGUCUGAUGGAGCAACGCCGCGUGAGUGAAGAAGGGUUUCGGCUCGUAAAGCUCUGUUGUUGGUGAAGAAGGACAGGGGUAGUAACUGACCUUUGUUUGACGGUAAUCAAUUAGAAAGUCACGGCUAACUACGUG